rnacentral:rRNA from 1 species
UUGAAUAAUUUUUUAAGCCACCUAGUGGAUGGCUUGGCUCUGGUAGCGACGAAGGGCGUGGCAAGCUGCGAUAAGCCCAAGGUAGGCGCAUGUCAGCCUUUGAACUUGGGAUUCCCGAAAUGUACACUAUGAAUAGUGGUGUGAGCGCACGCGUGGAAUUGAAAUAUCUUAGUACACGCAGGAAAAGAAAGAGUAUCGAUUCCGUUAGUAAAACGAUUGAAACCGGAAGAGGGCAGACCGAAUCGCUGAUUGCGAAAUUAGCGAGAUGUGGGCUAUGUAUGAACUCAUUGUACCUGUCAAACGUUCUGGAAAGAACGGCCAUAGAGAGUGACAGCCUCGUAGAUUAAGUACAGUGAGUCUUGUAGCGAUUGAGUAAUUCGGCUUUGUUAUGUCGAAUGAAUACGGGGUAUUAAACCCCAACCCUAAAUAUUGACCAGAGACCGAUAGCGAACAAGUAGCGCGAGCGAAAGCUGAAAAGAACCCAUAUGUAUGGGAUUGAAAUAGAUCUGAAACUAGGUGGUUACGAGAAGGUAAGGUGUGAAAGGAAUGAAAGCCCCAGAAGGAAUGUCAGAAAUGGCAGGACGACGGGGCAGGACUAAUAUCUUAUCAUUCUUCUCGAAGCAAGAGCCAGGGAGUGUGUUGUAGUGGCAAGCUUAAAUGCGAAGUGAAAGCGAUGGCGCGCAAGCAAUGAGGCGCCGGGCAUGAAAUAUGCCUCCAGUCACUAUGAUCCGACUCGAAGCCAAUGUGAUCUACUCGCGGCCAGGACGAAGCCAGCUUUACAGUUGGUGGAGGUCCGCAACCUGUCAUGGCAUGUCCUGUUGGGUGAGCUGCGGGUAGGGGCGAUAGACCACUCGAACUUGGCAAUAGCGAGUCCCCUCCGAAGUAUCUUUAGGAUAGCCUCGGGCGAGCUUGAACGUGAGGUAGAGCGACCGAUUAGAAGGUAUUGUUGCGAAAGCGACAGCCUUCCCGUCAAACUCCGAAUGCACGUUCUGCGUAGACCCCGAGAGUCGGCGACGUUGGGUAAGCUAGCGUCGCGAUGCUGUAUAGACAGUAUCCGAGGUUAAGGUCCCUAAAUCCUAGUUAAGUGUAUCAAAGGGCGGUUUUGUCUUAGACAGUCGGGAGGUAGGCUCAGAAGCAGCCACCCUUUAAAAAACGCGUCAUAGCGUACCGAUUGAGACAAUUCUCCCCGAAGAUGGACGGGGCUAAACUAGGUACCGAAACCCCGGCACUAUUAAAUAGUGGGUAGGAGGGCGUGCUGCACGGCUAGAAGUGUAUCCUUGCGGAUGCAUGGACUGUGCAGUAGCGAAAAUCCU